GCACAUUUCUAUUUGUUUGGAUGAGGAGAGAGAAAAGAAGAAAUCCACAUGGUGGGUAAAGCACCUGGGUCCACAGCCGAAAUCCCGGGUUUGGUCUCAGUUUCAUUAUACAAAACUGGGCCAUUUACCUGAGUUCCAGGCUCCACAUAUAAAACACAGACAUAAUAUUACUCACCCAUGUCACUGGGCUACUGGGGGACUCUACUAGGACAGCAGAGGCAAAGCUCUGAUGUAAGCUCUUUGCAAAUGUAAGAAGUGGUCCUUAUGUCACCCAGUUUAGGGCAGUGGUUGAGAGCAGACACAUUCUGAUCCCCUCGAGUCUGAAUCCUAUCUUUGGCCCACCUGGAAGUGGGACAAGUUUCUUAAACCUUUGUGCCUGGGUUACCUUUGUGUAUCUGGGUUCCCUUUGUGCCUGGGAAGAAUAAAUUAACAGAUGGAAGGACCCUGAACAGUCCGGUCGGAGACUGCUCCAGUCCUUGGCACCGUCCUGUAUUCUGUGGGUCCCAACAGUGUGGUGAAACCAGGAAGCCAACCAGCCAUCCAGCCAGGGUGUGGUCCUCUGGCUGAGACUCUCUAUCCCACAUCUGGGCACUCAUGCCACCAGCUGGCCUUGAAUUCCAGGGAUGCGGGAGGACAAUGAGCAUGAAGGAAACGUGCUGAGUGGAGUUGAGAAAGUAAAGGAACAAGGGGACGAUGAGGAACUCUCCUGGGGAGAUUAGGGCUGCCAAGUCCUAAGACAGGCUCAGGGUCUGCAGGAAGGUCGGCUUGUUGGAUCAUCUCUGUGCGCUGACUUCUCUUUGCUCCCCAGGGCCUCUACCCGCUGCCCUUGCUCAACAGCACCCUGGACGACGGGAAGGCCACCCUGACCCCUUCCAACACGCCACUGGGGCGCAACCUCUCGACUCACCAGACCUACCCCGUGGUGGCAGAUCCUCAUUCACCCUUCGCCAUAAAGCAGGAAACCCCCGAGGUGUCCAGUUCUAGCUCCACCCCUUCCUCUUUAUCUAGCUCCGCCUUUUUGGAUCUGCAGCAAGUCGGCUCCGGGGUCCCAGCCGGUGCCUCGGUCCCGCCCUUCAAUGCCUUUCCCCAUGCUGCCUCCGUGUACGGGCAGUUCACGGGCCAGGCCCUCCUCUCAGGGCGAGAGAUGGUGGGGCCCACGCUGCCCGGAUACCCACCCCACAUCCCCACCAGCGGACAGGGCAGCUAUGCCUCCUCUGCCAUCGCAGGCAUGGUGGCAGGUAAGGAGAGGGCCGGCAGGAAGGGGAGCACUGCAAAGAGGAAGUAUUGGAGCAAGGUGGGACACAAGGGGCAAGAGGCAUACUGUGCCCUAUUCAUAGACUUCCCAAAGGGCAUUGAAGGAUGGACCAAAGGGGGCAUCUCCUUGUAAAUGUCUGGAGACGAUGUCCCAGUGCAGUCCUGACUCCCUAUUUAAUUUGCCCCAGCUCGGCCUCCUUCUUCCCAGGCAUGCUACAUUACCCUCCAUGAUGAAAAGGGAGGGGCUGAGAUAGGUCUGUGUUCAAAUCCAAGCUCCACCACUUCUUCCAGUGAAUCAGUGAGCAUAAAUGGAGAGCACUCUAAGGGCCCCAAAACACUGUGAGUGGAAGAUGAACCCUACCCUCAAGCAGUGCUGGUCUCCCAGUGAUUUAACUCUGAUGAAUCCCAGUUUGCCCAUUCUGUAAAAUCUGAAUCUGAAGGGUAUUGAUGAUGAUGAUGAUGAUGACAAUGAUGAUGAUGAAAUAUAUGCUUCACAUCUCUCUCUCAAGCCUGCAUGGAUAGGACCCAGGUUCUAGGUACUCUAAGAGUACUAUAGAGGAUGAAAUGAGCCUGGAGUAGCUCUCCAUCCUCAUUUGGACUGUUCUGGAACCUGCCUGCCAGUCAUUUGGGUUUCUUUGUCUGCCAGUCAUCAUCCAAUGAUGUUUCAAGGUGACAAGGUCUAGACGAAUGAAGAUAAUGGGAGUUUCCUUGGGCAAGUCUCAAUUUUUUAGGAGCCAUGUAGGAAAGACUUUGGGAUGGAUGAGCCAUAAUUGAGCCAUUUUCACUGGUCAAAAAGGCCUGGGACCUGAAGUUUCUGGAAAGAGCUCUGAACACAAGGGAUCUGUGACCCCCAUGCCAGCCCUAGGCCAGCCUCUCUGGCUCUGACCCCAGAGACUUGGCAUAUUUACCUAGGCCUGCUUCCCUUCCUUGCCGGCAGGAGUUAAUCUUUGCCAGCCACCCACUCUGGGCACCCUAUGCAGGGGCAGGUGGGCUGGGAUCUCCUGGGCAGAGGGAAGGGAGGGAGAGAAAGAGGGAGGGAGAAAGGCUCUGUGCUCCCUGGGAACCUGCUGAGCUGGCACUUGUUGCUGCCUGGUUACCGUGGCGAUGUGCUUAAUGCAGCGUUGAAAAUACAGAAUACUGACUCCUCUCUCCCUCCUGGCCCCGGACUCCCUCCCUCCCUCCCUCCCUUCCUCUUCUGGAGCGUGAAAUGAGAUUGGUCAAGAUAAAAAAGGAAAAGAUUCGGUUAUUUUUUUAAGAGUGUGGAUAAUGGGGCCUCUCAAUCAAAAUCCCAGGCUCCAGUCGGCUCCCCCCAUUCCCCUUCCAACCCCUCCACCUUCCCCUGCCGCCUGCUUAGAGGAGGAGGAAGAAACAUAAAGCACAAGGCUUUUCUCUUAAUUAUGAAUCAUUCCCUGAGGGCAGGCCCAGGGCAAGGGGUUCCUGGGGCCCAGAGUCUGACCUGUGAGGUAGCUGGAAGGCUUGGGCCUCUCAUCAAAGUCCCCCAGGUUGUUUCCAGAAAGAAUCCUGAGUGGGUGCUGUG
rnacentral:sRNA from 1 species